rnacentral:SRP_RNA from 1 species
CUGUGCUAAGUGGGGAGUUUGCGGUGCCCUGAACCUGCAAUCCGCAAUAGCAGGACCGAACGUCUUUCUCGACGAAAUAAGUGGAAAGCCGCGCUUUGUAAGGGGUGUUGAUACCAAGGUCU